UGGUCGUUCAGGAGAGACGUGUUGCCUCUCCUCCUGCCGCCCCGCCGGCUUUACCGCUUCCUCGUCCCUUUAAUACACAUAAAUAACGAGACGACCACACUAGUAAAUGAUCUGACCCGUAACAUUUAUAUGGAGAUGCAGCAGCUGGAGACGUCGCCGGGAAGUGGGCGGGGCCCACUUGUAUAUCCAGCUUAACUGCCGCAGAAUCCUCAUGACAUAAAGACCACUGGAGACCAGAGAUUAAUGUCUUAUAAGACAUUUACUGUCUUGUGCACACGGAGUGUUUACCGCGAAGUCAGUUGUACAAGACUGCCGC